GUAGGGAAUUUUCGUCAAUGGGCGCAAGCCUGAACGAGCAAUGCCGCGUGAGCGAGGAAGGUCUUCGGAUCGUAAAGCUCUGUUACGGGGGAAAAAGGAAGAGAAGAGGGAAUGCUUUUCUUUUGAUGGUACCCCGCCAGAAAGUCACGGCUAACUACGUGCCAGCAGCCGCGGUAAUACGUAGGUGGCAAGCGUUAUCCGGAAUGAUUGGGCGUAAAGGGUGCGCAGGCUGCGCGUCAAGUCUGAAGUGAAAGGUACCGGCUUAACCGGUACAGGCUUUGGAAACUGGCACGCUAGAGGACAGGAGAGGGCGGUGGAACUCCAUGUGUAGCGGUAAAAUGCGUAGAUAUAUGGAAGAACACCAGUUGCGAAGGCGACCGCCUGGACUGUACCUGACGCUCAUGCACGAAAGCGUGGGGAGCAAAUAGGA
rnacentral:rRNA from 1 species